UCUCCGUAGGUGAACCUGCGGAGGGAUCAUUACAGAGUUCUCGCCCUCGCGGGUAGAUCUCCCACCCACUGCUAUCGUUACUGUGUUGCUUUGGCGGGCCGCCGGGCCCCGCUCGGCCGCCGGCUCCGGCUGGCGCACGCCCGCCAGAGGCCCAGCAAACUCUGAAUGUUAGUGUCGUCUGAGUACUAUAUAAUAGUUAAAACUUUCAACAACGGAUCUCUUGGUUCUG
rnacentral:misc_RNA from 1 species